CUACUACUCAAGAUCAAAAUAGUGCACAAUUGCUAAACAAAGACGGCGUGCUAUGCUGAUAUGUGCGACUAGAGAGUCAACCGCAUAAUAAUUUCGGUUAAAAUACUUCGUCAACAAGGAAUUGGCAUUGAAGGCAGAUGGAGUGAAUCACAAUUUAGAUGCAAGUGAUAUAGAGGCAUAAUUGUAAAAAGCUAUAUUACAUUGUUAAUGUAUGUACAUUGUUGUAAUAUUUGAAUAUUGAAUAUAUUGGAAGAUUGAAUAUAUUGAAGAUUGAUGCUUUCAGAAAUCAAGUUUCAAU
rnacentral:lncRNA from 1 species